rnacentral:rRNA from 1 species
UUUUGCUUGCAAACUAAAGAUGGCGACCGGCGCACGGGUGAGUAACACGUAUCCAACCUGCCGAUAACUCGGGGAUAGCCUUUCGAAAGAAAGAUUAAUAUCCGAUGGUAUAUUAAAACCGCAUGGUUUUACUAUUAAAGAAUUUCGGUUAUCGAUGGGGAUGCGUUCCAUUAGUUUGUUGGCGGGGUAACGGCCCACCAAACCGACGAUGGAUAGGGGUUCUGAGAGGAAGGUCCCCCACAUUGGUACUGAGACACGGACCAA